rnacentral:tRNA from 1 species
AAAGUAGUGAUGGAAUUGGCAGACAUGAAUAGUUUAGGCCUAUUUGGUUUAAACCUUAUCCGUUCAAGUCGGAUCUACUUUA